rnacentral:piRNA from 1 species
UCCAGACAGUUUUGUUUGGUGACAGGAGU